rnacentral:lncRNA from 1 species
UUCAUCGGUGGGGCGUUCAGAUGAGCCCAACCCCACUCUGUCACUGCUGCCAACACGUGAUGGGCCCGAUGGUUCGCCUUCGUCCCCUGAUGCGACGAUGCACCCCUCCACCCGGCUGUUUGACAGGCCCCUAGACCCGCCGCCUCACCCACCCCGUCCCAAAGGCAGGCCCUAGUUGGCCUCUUCUCCUACGACGGUGGCAUGGAAGAGUGCGCUCAUCGAUUCUUCGAGCGUGGUGGGGGCGUCGCCCAACGCCAUCGAGAAGGCCGAGCGUCGGGCGGCGUUACGUGACCUGGACCUAGGUCCGUCCCUCGACCCUUCCAUUGCAACUUCUAUUGGUGAUGUUUCGUUAUCCUUUUCCGUGCUUGUGAGUGUACCCCUUGGUCGGCUGGCUAAAAUUGCAUACGAUGCUGCCAUAGUGUUUCGUGGGGAAAAAGGUCCCGCGAUUGAGCAGCUCGCUGCCAUUCAGGCAAAGCAAAUCCUUGAUGAAUGCCUGUUGGCAGCACGGGCUUGGGCUACAGCUGAGGGUACGAAUACCUCACGGCCUCUGGCGUGUGGGGAGGUUGGCCCUCUGGCCCCGACGGAGAUCCGCGGCCGCAAUCGUGCCCGCACUUUGCUGCUCCACCGCACCAACAGCGCCUUUGCUGCUCCAGGAUCCAGGGUGGACCCCCUAGAUGGAUAGGUGCGGGCACUAUUUUGGAACCUCCACGGCUUUGGGAAUGAUGGCCGCCGCAGGCAGCUCAUCGACUACAUGUUGGACGAAGCCAUUGACAUCGUUGCCAUCUCUGAAACCAUGCGAACUGAUUUUUCGCUACCCGAACUAGAGCACCUUAGUAGGCACUUAUUUGCCUGGCACUGGCUACCCUCCUCGGGGGUAGCUGGCCACUCGGGUGGCAUCCUCCUAGGGGUGAAGGAUACCACAUUUGAUGUUGGGUCCAUGGACCGGGGAGAGUUCUUUGUUAGCAUGGAAGUGUGGGAACGAGAUGUGAACUUGAAAUGGGAAGUCAUAGUGGUGUAUGGUCUAUCCAACGACACAUGAUCUCAGGUCUUCUUAGAUGAGUUGCACCGUAAGAUUGAGGCGCCACCCUCCCCUUGAUUAUAGGGGGAGACUUUAACCUCUUACGGUCUCCUUUAGAGAUCUACCGCAAGGAAGAGGCUUACUGGUGGCAGCGGGGAGCCUGCAGCUGGGUGCUCUUUGGUGAUGCCAACACCGCAUACUUCCAUGCUAUCGCUAAUGGCCGCAGACGGAGAUGCACCAUCCCACUCCUUUGGGAUGGUGAUCAGCUGGUGCAAGAGCCCGGAGAGAUUCGGAUGCACAUGGACGGCUUUUAUAAGGAGCUCUUUGCGGCCCGAACGAGGUCGGGCAUUGCACUGGCUUACUCCAUUUUGGAUAGGGGCCAACGGGUCACGGCCGUUGAGAAUAGGGCCCUCCUCACUCCUUUCGAGGAGGAAGAGGUGCCCACGAUCAUCAAAGGGAUGAAUCCAUACUCGGCUCCGGGACGAGAAGGCCUGUCGGUCAGGUUUUCCCAGACAUUCUGGCAUUCCAUCAAGGGAGAGAUUGUGGCGCUCUUUCACGAGUUUGAACAGGGUGUUUCCAACCUCUCGCGGCUGAAUUUCGGGAUAAUCUUCCUCACCCCGAAGGUGCCCGGGGCCUCGGAUAUUAGGCAGUUUCGGCCAAUAACUGUCAUCAAUGUAAUCUUCAGGAUUUUAGCUAAAGGGUACACUAGUAGGGCGGCCCUUUUAGCGCCACGGAUUACCCAUCCCAACCAGAAGGCCUUUGUCAAAGGUCAUCUAAUCCUGGAUGGGAUUCUGGUCCUUCACGAAGUCAUUCAUGAAAUCAAGGCCAAGCGAUUUUGCACGGUCUUCUUAAAGAUCGACUUCCACAAGGCCUACGAUACGAUUCAUUGGUCCUUUGUGCGGGAAAUGAUGACCAAAAAGGGUUUCGACCGUUUCUAGAUUACUAGGAUUAUGCAAAUGGUGAUGAGCGGUAAGACGGCCGAUAAUUCAGCGACGAGGUUGGUCCUUACUUCCCAACUGGCCAAGGAGUAAGGCAGGGAGACCCAUUCUCCCCCUUCUUAUUCAACCUCGUGGUUGAUGCCUUGGCCGCUAUCCUGGACAAGGCCAAAGGGGUCGGCCACCUCACGGGCCUGUGCCACCACCUUCUUGGGGCUGGGGGCAUCACCCAUCUCCAAUAUGUCGAUGACAUGAUCCUGAUGGUAGAAGGAUCGUCUCAGGACAUUGCCCACCUGAUGUUCCUCCUCCUGUGCUUCGAGGAGAUAUCCGGCCUAACCAUUAACUUUGCCAAAAGCGAAGUCAUGGCCCUGGGCUACUCAGACAAGGAUAAGCUUCGGAUUACAAAUAGUCUUAACUGUAGUCUGGGGACUUUCCGGACCAUUUACCUUGGCUUGCCCGUCAACGACUCUCGCAUCCUGGAGAAGGAUCUGAGACCCACAAUGUCCAAGGUACAACACCGGGUGGAUCCGUGGCAAGGACGUUGGCUAUCCAAAGCGGCUCGGGUGGUGCCUAUCAACUCGUCGAUGACGAGUUUAUUGAUGUAUCUGAUGGGGUUCUAUAGCCUAAAUGAAUCCCUUCAUCAUGAGAUUGUCAAGUACCAAUCGCGGUUUUUCUGGGCUGGGAAAGGCGAUAAAUAGAAAUAUCACAUGGUCAAAUGCUCGGCGAUAUGCAAACCCAAGGACCAGGGGUGUCUUGGGAUUAUCUCAUCCAAGAGGAUGAAUAUUGCACUCCUCUCCAAAUGGCUAUGGAGAAUAGGAGCAGUCGAAGGUGGUCUCUGGCUAGAUAUUAUCCGGGCCAAAUACCUUCGGGGACAACCCUUAGCUUUUGAUGACGAGAUGAUGUAUAUACUUCUCGCACCUUGUUGGUUACCCCAAGUGGAAGGUUGAGAUGUAAUCAGCAACAAGUUUUCCCUCACACGGGAACUGUAAGGUUUAUCGAAACAGGAGGACUCCUAGGAUCAACAAGUAGGUGUCUUCCACCCUGGUGUUAGCAGAAGACGUGGACCUGCACACAUAACAAAUAACUUUGCUCCCAACGAGUAUAGAGAGGUUGUCAAUCUCUCCGGCCUUGUAGUUUGCAAAGGAUCAAAACACAAGCGGGAAGGUAAUAGUGAUUGCAACGGAAAAGUAAAUGAAAAUGGUAAAUGAUGGAGGUGUAAACAAAGAUGAUGAUAUGGACCGGAGUCACAUGAUGUUCACUAGUGUUGUCUCUCUCCCAAAAGACGAUAAACAACUAUGCUUGGGUAAACAAAUCACAGUUGGGCAAUUGACAGAAUUAUGAACGCACCGCAAUGCUAAUUAUGCUACUUGAUAUACAGGUUCAAUAUUAGUGGGCAGUACGCCAAGAAAAGUAGAUCGUUUAUUCAUCAUCAUCUAUUUAAUAAUCAUCCACCUUGAUAUAUCUAUCCAGAACAUCUCUCCGGUAUUAAGUUGCGAGCCCCACCCAAAGUGUAAACUCAAAGCAACAGACAACUGCAUUAACGAACUAUGCGUAAGAUAAACAAUCCUUGCAACCGCGGUCACAAGCACCGUUGUUUUCUCCCUGGUGGCAACAGCACAUCCCCUAGUCUCAUGUUUCUGUCACUCAAGCUAGACAUUGAGGGGCAUGAAUCCACAAUCAUGCACAACGCUCCCUCUUGGAGUUACAAUCUACUACUCGGCCAAAGCAAUAAAUAGCAAUGGAGAACAUGCAUGAAUCACUAAGGAACAUAAUAUAAAAGGAUAAUCAAAUAUAUAACUCAUAACAAUCGGAACAUAAUCUCAUAAUCCAUCGGAUCCCAACAAACCGAGCAUAGCAAUAGCAAGAGAAUUACAUAGAUGCCUUGAUCAUGUACGGCAGCUCACAAGGACUAACCAUUGAAGCACAAGAUUGGAGAGAAGACAUCACAUAGAUACUAUUCAUGGACCCAUGGUCCAAGGAGGACUACUCACGGCACGUCCGGGAAGCGUCCAUGGCGGUGGAGAAGCUCCCGGAGGUCAAUCCUCCCUUCGGCGGGGUGCUGGGAAGAGGUCUCCUGACGCUCCCAAUCUCGGAAGCGCUGCGGUGGCGAAACGAUAGAGAAAUUCGCAAUUCUGGAAGUUGUGGAAGGGUUUCCUCUUGGGACUCUAAAUAUAGGCCAAAGGAGGGCACCGGAAGAGGUGGGGCCCACCCAGGCGGCCUCCUGGCGCGGCCUAGGGCCUGGCCGCGCCAGCAGGUCGCGUGGGCCGCCCCUGGCCCCCCUCUUGGCCAUUUUCGGUGACCCGAAAGCUUCUAUUUCGCUGAUUUUUUAUAUAUUUUUUCUGUAAUUUUUCGAGCUUCGGAAAAUUGGGUAAAAGCCCCUACAAAAUAGACAUCAGCAGACAGAAACUGGCACUAGGUGCACUGAGUUAGUAGGUUAGUCAAAAUAUGCGUAAAAUGAUAAAAGUGUAGCAAAACAUAUAACAUUGUCACCCAAAAGAUCAUGGAAGAAGCAAAAAUUGUAAAGACGUUUGGGACGUAUCAGCUUUCGCAACCAGAACUGGGGGCUCCCUGUUCUGGCAGUCCAUCGUCCAACUCAUGCCAGUUCUCCGUCUGGGCUGUUCCAUCGACAUGGGAAGAGGAAACUCCACCUUAUUCUGGCUUGACCGAUGGUGCGGUCAGCAGGCCUUUGCUUCUCGAUUCCAGCCUCUUUUUUGCAUUUGCGUCCAUCAGCUCAUCUCAGUGGAGGACGCGCUACCUGAUCUAAUGGGUAUAGCCUUCAGAAGGUCUUUCGUUCCCGCUGAGCGGGACAUAUGGGAUGAGCUUCUUCAGUGUGUGGCUCUACACCCUCCGUCCAUAGAAGAGGAUGUAAUCCAUUGGGACCUGGAUCCUAGUGGACGGUUCUCAACCAAAUCGCUAUACCAAGCGAUUUUACCGACCCCAGGACCGACUGAACUGAAUAUUCUGUGGGAAAUUAAGGUGCAUUGAAGAACAAGAUUUUCCUGUGGCAACUGCUGCGCGGCUUGGUGCCGUCCGGGGCGGAGGUGUUGAAACAACACGGCCCCUUCGAUGGAUUGUGUCCUCUGUGCUAGGUCCCAGAGGACUACAAUAACAUUUUCUUCGUGUGCCCGACGGCGAGGUUCAUGUGGUGCAAUCUACGGGAGGCGGUUGGUGGUAGUUGGUGCCACGACAACCUCCCUGAUCUGUUUGCCGAGGUCCUAGGGACUCACGGUGAGGCUGUGAGGCUGGCCCUGUGGGUUAUCAUCGGUGCCCUUCUAUGGACCCUCUGGAAUAUAAGGAAUAAACUUGUGAUAGAGCAUGUUAUCCCUUUACGUGCGACUGAUGCAAUCUUCAAAUUAUGUGGUUUCAUCCAGAUUUGGCGGCCGCUUAGUUGGCGCAAUGACCGGGACCCCAUUGACAUUGCAUCUGCUGCAUUGAGAGUUGUCGCCACUCGCCUGACAUCCCCUCCGACGACACUUCCACCGCCACCUCCGGAGCCAGAUUAGCUUCGCUACUUUCUUUCUUUAUUUGGGGUUACAUGUGAUGUGCCCCCAGCAUGACGUUUUAGUCUGAGUUCUACUGUGCCACUAGCCGGCUGCCAGCUGGCCUGUGUGUGUUUUGAACCUCGUGUGCGUGUGUUGUGCUGAAUCGUGUGGUGUCUUGUAUGCUCUGGUCGAGGCUUUAUAUAUAAAUCGGGGGGAAACCCUAUUUUCGUAAUUGGUGCGUGGAAAUCCUCCUAGCAUUUCCCAUUUGCGUAAGUUCGGAUGUGCUUCAUACAUCCUGAUCUCACCACCACACCGGACAUCUAUGGCCCACACAAAAAGUUGGGGAUCUAUUGGGGCACAAAUCAUCGUCGAUUAUUAAGUACCUAGAACCCCUUACUGGGGAUAUAUUCACAAACCGUCAUGCUGAUUGCAUAUUCAAUGAGGAACAUUUUCCGGCAUUAGGGGGAGAUUUCAAGUACAAUAAAGAAUUCCCGAAAAUUGAUUGGAAUGCUCAUGCCAUUUCAUCCUCUGAUCCACAUACUCAUGAGACCGAACUUCAAGUUUCGAAGAUCAUUAAUUUGCAACAUCUUGCAAAUAAUCUACCAGAUUCAUUUACUGAUCUAAAAGGUGUUACAAAAUCCUUAAAUCCGGACAGAAACGCGCCAAAAAGAGCGGACGUACCAGUAAAAACCACUCAACUCCCUGUUCCUAAAAAGAGGGGGAGUAGUACGACCUGUGACCAGGAGCAAGCUUCUAGCAAGUAGCAAAGGAAAUCAAGGAGAAAAACCUCGAAGUGAGUAAAUGCAGGUCAAAUCAAAAUUGACAAACACGUCAUGGGUAGUAUACACCUAGUGGAGGGGCAACCUCCACAACCCAGCUCCAGUUUGCAUAAACUAGCUGGAACAUCAGAACACCCAGACUCAAUCAUAUUGGGAAAUCACGAAGAGUCUCUAGGGGUGCAGGAAAUUUCCAUCAACUAUGUUGAUUCUGGAGAAUCAUUUGACCGUAAGACUACGACUGUUGACAUAUAUUUUGCUGAAUAGAUUGCAGAUAUCCUUCUUACUGAUCAUGGUCCAAGGUCUAUCGUUGAGUGCCAAAUUCAUUCCGACUGUCCUAAAUGGAAGGAUGCAAUCCAUAGAAAUUGCCUUGCUUAACAAAAGAAAGGUAUUCACUGAAGCAAUACCUACACCUCCCAAUGUUUUCCCUGUUGGAUUCAAAUGUUGUUUUUCAGAAACGAAAUGAGAACAAUGAGGCGGGAUAUAAAGGAAGGCUCGUAGCAGAAGGUUUCACGUUGAAACCCGACAUUGAUUUCAAUGAAACAUACUCUCCAGUAAUGAGUGGAACCACUUUCCGGUAUAUUAUAUCUUUGGCAGUGCAAAAUCGUCUAUCAUGCAGUUGAUGGACAUCGUGACCUCAUAUCUUUACGGGUCACUGGAUUCAGACAUAUAUAUGAAGGUUCCUCACAGAAUCUCCGUCUCAAAUAAAAGUGCAAAUCGCAACAUGUAUUGUGUAAAGCUGAAUAAGUCACUGUAUGGCUUAAGGCAGUCGGGACGGAUGUGGUACAACCGACUAAUUGAAUUCCUUCUUCAGAAAGGUUACUCCAAUAGUGAUGAUUGCCCAUGUAUCUUCAUCAAGAAGUCCUCUACACAAUUUUUCAUUACUUAUGUGUAUGUUGAUGAUAUCAACAUCAUUGGCAACACACCAUACAUUGAUGAAGCAAGCAAUCACCUAAAGAUGGAAUUUGUGAUGACGAAUUUGGGUAAAACCAAAUUUUUCUUAGGUAUUCAACUUGAGCACCUUCCCUCAAUAAUCCUGGUACACCAAGGUGCCUAUAUCUAGAAAAUAUUGGAGAAAUUCAAUAUGAACAAAUCCUAUCCAUCUAAAACUCCUAUGGUGGUUCGAUCUCUAGACGCAGAGAAAGAUCCAUUCAUGCCAAAGGAUGACGGAGAAGAGGUGUUGGGACCUGAAGUUCCAUACCUCAGUGCCACUGGAGCGCUUAUGUAUCUUGCAAAUUGCACAAGACCUGAUAUUGCAUUUGCAGUGAAUCUACUUGCUAGACAUAGCUCAACUCGCACCAAAUAUCAUUGGUCUGGACUGAAGAAUAUCUUUCAAUAUCUCCAAGGCACAAAGGAUCUUGGCCUAUUUUUCCAGUUCGAGAGAAAUCAGGACUCUCAUAUGAUUGGAUAUGCAGAUGCCAGCUAUUUGCCUGACCCCCAUAAGGCAAGAUCUCAGACUGGUUUUGUGUUCCUACUUGGUGGUAUUGCCAUAUCAUGGAAUUCUUCAAAACAUACUCUCAUGGCAACAUCUACAAAUCAUUCUGAAAUAAUUUCAUUAUUUAAAGCAUCAUGUGAAUGUGUAUGGCUUUGCAGAAUGAUAAACCACAUUCAGCAGUCAUGUGGAAUUGGUUCGAUAGAAUCACCCACCAUUAUCUAUGAGAAUAAUGCGAUGUGUGUUGCACAGAUGCAAACAUGGUACAUCAAGAGCAAUAUCACUAAGCAUAUUUCUCCUAAGUGUUUUCCCCCAUAAUCUUCAGAAAAGCGGGGAAAUAAGCAUCUUGCAAGUCAAAUCAUGUGACAACCUUGAUGAUUUAUUUACUAAGUCUCUACCAAACUCAACAUUCCAGAAAUAUGUUCAUGAAUUGGUCUGCGAUGACUUAGAGACUUGCGGGCAUCAAAGGGAGUCUCUUCUUCACAUAUCCUUGUUCAAUGACAUCACAUUACGUUAUAUCUUUGUGAGUUUAUGUUUCAGGUUCUCAUCAAGUUUUCACAAAGAACUUUUUGGAGGAGAACCCUUUUUGAGAUGAUAGCGCUACCCCGACAAUUGUGAGAUGAUUCUACAUGGUCAAGCAUAGAUUAGGGGGAGUGUUAAGAUUAAUUACAACUGUAAUUAGGGGUAAUCUCCCCUUUCCCAACCGCCGUACGGCUUCCUCCCGCACGGACGCGUCUUUGGCUGAGACCAACGCCUGUCCGAACCGUCGUGUAUCUCCAGACAAUAUAAAUGGCAACCUGUAAUCAUCGAUGAGAUUGAUCGAAUCAUUGUGGAUUCAAACACAUCCAAGCAAACACACCCUAAUUGUGUAGAGGUAGGUUGUGGCACGAUAGGCCAAUCUCAAACAUCCACUAUUGUGAUCUGACGAGCGAGAACGUCAAAUUGAUGUGGAUAGUGUUGGAAAUAUGCCCUAGAGGCAAUAAUAAAUUAGUUAUUAAUAUAUUUUUUUUGUUCAUGAUAAUCAUUUAUUAUCCAUGCUAUAAUUGUAUUGAUUGGAAACGCAAAUACAUGUGUGGAUACAUAGACAAAACGCUGUCCCUAGUAAGCCUCUAGUUGACUAGCUCGUUGAUCAAAGAUGGUCAAGGAUUCCUCACCAUAGAUAAGUGUAGUCACUUGAUAACGGGAUCACAUCAUUAGGAGAAUCAUGUGAUGGACAAGACCCAAAUUAUAAAUGUAGCAUGUGAUCGUGUUAUUUUGUUGCUAUUGUUUUUUGUGUGUCAAGUAUUCAUUCCUAUGACCGAGAGAUCAUGCAACUCACUGACACCGAAGGAAUGCCUUGUGUGUAUCAAACAUCACAAUGUUACUGGGUGCCUAUAAAGGUGCUCUAGAGGUAUCUCCAAAGGUGUCCAUUGAGUUAGCAUGGAUCAAGACUGAGAUUUGUCACUCCGUGUGAUGGAGAGGUAUCUCGGGGCCCACUCGGUAAUACAACAUCACACACAAGCCUUGCAAGCAAUGUGACUCAAGUGUGAGUCACGGGAUCUUGUAUUACAGAACGAGUAAAGAGACUUGACGGUAAUGAGAUUGAAAUAGGUAUAGGGAUACCGACGAUCCAAUCUCGGACAAGUAACAUACAAAAGGACAAAGGGAAUGUUAUACGGGAUUAUAUGAAUCCUUGGCACAGAGGUUCAACCGGUAAGAUCUUCGUAGAAUAUGUAGGAUCCAAUAUGGGCAUCCAGGUCCCUCUAUUGGAUAUUGACCGAGAAGUGUCUCGGGUCAUGUCUGCAUAGUUCUCGAACCCGCAGGGUCUACACACUUAAGGUUGGAUGAUGUUUUAGUAUAGUUGAGUUAUAUGUGUUGGUGACCAAAGGUUGUUCGGAGUUCCGUAUGAUAUCACAGACGUCACGAGGGUUUCCGGAAUGGUCCGGAAACGAAGAUUGAUAUAUAGGAAGUUGGUGUUUGGAUUCCGGAAAGUUUUCGGGCAUUACCGACACUGUACCGGGAGUGAUGAAUGGGUUCCAGGGGCCCACUGGGUGGGCCCACCACGCCCCAAGGGGUCCAUGUGGGUUUAUUGGAUGCACAAUAAGGUAUAAUGGGCUGACAAAGUCAUCCAAGGAAAGCCCAUGAGGAAAAAGUGGAAAAUCCAAAAGAGGUGGGAAAAUAAGGAAGGAGUCCUAAUCCAAGUGGGAUUGGAGAAGGACUCCUCCCUCCCUCCCACUUUGGCCGACCCAAGGAGGGUUUCCUUAAUGCGCCAAGGCUGCCCAAGGAUGCCUCUCCCCUCCAGCUAUAUAUACUAGAGGUUUGGGGCUUUUUGAGACACAACUUUGCCACGUGCAACUCAAACCUGCACCUCGUAGUUCUUCCUCUAGAUUAGAUUUCUGCGGAGCUCGGGCGGAGCCCUGAAGGAAUAGAUCAUCACCAACACCGGCAAGGCGUCACGCUGCUGGAGAACUCAUCUACUUAUCCAUCUCUCUUGCUGGAUCAAGAAGGCCGAGAUCGUCAUCGAGCUGUACGUGUGCUGAACGCGGAGGUGCCGUCCGUUCGGCGCUAGAUCGGAACGGAUCGUGGGACGACGGUGAUUUGAAUCACGAAGCUGUACCACUACAUCAACCGCGUUUCUUAACGCUUCCCGCUUAGCGAUCUACAAGGGUACGUAGAUCUAAUCUCCUCUCGUAGAUGAACAUCACCAUGAUAGGUCUUCGUGUGCGUAGGAAAUUUUUUGUUUCCCAUGCAACCUUCCACAACAGAUAGGGGUGGGUAGAUCCAUUUUACUAUUUUGUAAAUGGUUGUGUGCAUCAUUUGAUCCAGAGGCCAGAGGUAAUCCUCCUUUAAAACAAAAGGUGUUUGAAAUUUUGUGCACAAGGUAAUUCUUUUGCUUUCUUUCUUUUUUGUUAUGGACAAAUUAGUAGAUGGUAAUUACAACUAUUGCACUUUAGAUGAGUUCAUUAAUUCGUGUUCUGCUUGUGAUGAUUCCUUGUCCGAAGAGGAAUAUGACAUGACCUAAGAGGGGGAUACUACUUCGAUCUUGAUGAUGCACAAAAACAAGAAGUCAAAAACAUGGUUGUUCCGUUUACAAACGAGAGGCGAUUCGAGGGACAUGCAAGAGGUGCACGCUAAAUUGAUGCACAUCUACUUCGAUUCAUCUCCAACAUAUCCAAAGUGAUACUUUCGCCGCGGAUUUAGGAUGUCUUUGGAUUUGUUCCUUCACAUUGCUAUCUGUUUGAAGCAACAUAAUCAGACCUUUGAGCAGAGGGGAAAUUGCACUAGAAAAUUGGGCAUAACACCAUACAGAAGGUGACUGCCGCAUUGCGCAUGAUGACAUAUGGUGUUGUGGCUAAUUUCAUCAAUGAUAACAUGGCAAUGGAGAGAGCACUUCAAAUUUUUAUGUCAAGUGAUUUGCAAAGGAUAUGGCUAAGGUGUUUGGACUAGAGUAUCUCAAAGAACCCAAUUCUCGGAACACGACGAGACUUUUGGAGAUGAACCCACCUUGUGAAUUUCCUGUUAUGCUUAGCUUCAUUCAUCGCAUACAUUAUAUGUUGAAGAAUUGCCUGCACCAUAGCAUGAAUAGUUCAAAGGACACAAGAAGGACAUCACAAUCGUUCUUGAGGCCGUGGUCAACCAAGAGACAUGGAUUUGGCAUGCAUACUUUGGGAUGCCCGAUUCUUGCAAUGACAUCAAUGUGCUGUUGCAGUCACCUGUCUUUGCUAAGUUAGCUAAUCGAGAAUCAUCACCCGCAAAGUUUCAAAAAAAUGACCACACAUAUAACAUGGGCUACUACCUUGCGUCUAUGAUCCAAACAUGACCAAAUGGGUUAGCCCGGCCCCGCCUGGGUUAAACGUGCAGGAACGACAUGACUCAGUCAGUCACACUGAGUACUCGGGCCAUGCCGGGUUGGCACGCGUGUUGGCCUCCUUGGCCGAGGAACGACCUCUAGUUACAUAGGCUGGCAGGACAGUCUGUUUGGUACGUUGGCACAGCUGGCCCGAGUAGGCACGUCCACCCGUGAUAGCGCGCACACGCACGACGCCGUGCGGCGGUCGUCGCCUCGUGCAUGCCAGCAGGCACAUCCAACCAUGAAGGGCCGCAUGCAUGCACAUCCAGCUAUCCCUCAGAGGACAAAUUCACGGUUUUUACCCUUUUGCUAACUUUAUCCCGAUCUGACCCUGUUUGUGAACUUUUUUCGAAUCUGACCCUUUUCCUACCGCCACCGGCUGUGGCGGUAGGCAUACACACCCUACCAGCACAAUGAGUGGCGGUAGGGGUUUGGUAAAUGGGGAUGGUUCCUUCGGGUCAGUGGAGUCAAACGACCCUACCGCCACUGUCUCUCGUGGUAUGAUGUGUAUGCCUACCGCCACGUCAGCCGACGGUAGGAAAAAAGGUCAGAUCCAAUUUUUUUUCACAAACGAGGCUAGAUCGGGCUAAACUAUGUAAAAAGGGUCAAAACAGUGAAAUCGUCCUCCUUGAGACCCUGACUCCGUGGUACAUAGCACAGUAGUCGACUACCAAUAGGUUUUGCUCCAAAAAAUAAUGUAGCAUUAGCGUGUCAUGCUGGGCUGGUACACGUGUCACACUAGGCAGCCCAGGCCAGACCCACGUGCCAAAGACGACCCAUUGAUCCACAUGACGGGCCAAGCACGUGGGCUACCGUGCUGACACAGCUAAACCACCCGAGUUGGCUAGGUUUGUUGUGAUCUAUCCAAAGUGCUCUAUUUUUAUGAAGUUAGUUUCAAGUCCCCAAAGCAUGAAAUAACUCUACUUUCAAAUUUCCGCUAGGAAAGAUGUGGAGAGAGCUUUUAGGAUUCUGUGGCUCAAUUUACUUUUGUGUGAGGACCAACUAGGUUUUGGCAUCAAGAGAUCUUUUGGUAUAUCAUCACGGCAUGCGUGAUCAUCCAAACAUGAUCAUUAAGAAUGAGCAUGAUUUUUUUAUUACACCUUCUAUGAACUCAUGGGUAAACUCAUACAUCCGCAUAGAAGGGAGGAGUGAAUCCGAUGCUUUCUUGAGGCGUAUCAUGACAUUCGAGAUACCGAUAUGAACGUCGAUGUUAAAAAAGAUGUCAUGGAGGAGCGGUGGAACUGGGACGGAAAAUAACAUCCUUAGUUCAUCUUCUUGUGCGAUGAAUGAUUUGUGUAAUGAACAAUUUGUGUGAUGUGUGAUAAAUAACUUACGUAAUAUUGCGGAUUGAUGAACAAUUUAUGCGAUGUGUGGUGGCAAUUUAUGCUUGUAAUGUUUGUAAUUUAUUUGUGUUGAAAUCAUUUGAGAUGAUUCCGUAUAAAAAUGUUCAAUAUGUAUGCAAUUGUCGUGCCUAAUAUAUGGCAGUUGUUGGAGCAAAUUGAUGCUCUACCAGGGCCGGGCACAUAGUUGUCCCAAAU